UCCCUUGUUUCGAAUCUCGACGGCAGAAAAAAGAGGAAAUUUAUCUAAACCCUAUCUCCGGUGAGAGAGAGCGUUAGUUCCCCGGUGAACAGAUGUCUGAAUUCGAAGAUCACGAGGGUAACGGCACGGCUGUUGACGGCUUCUACGCCGAAGAUAAUGGUGGCCACGGCAGCGAAAUCGAGGAUCACAUAGACUCGAAAUCUAAGAGUGAAACGCGUGACAAUGAAAGAGAGAGUUCUAGAAGUAAAGAUAGAGAAAGAGAGAAGGGGCGUGAUAAGGACAGAGAAAAGGACUCUGAUCGAAGCAGAGACAGAGAUAGAGAGAAAAGCAAGGAGAGAAGUAGAGAGAAAGACAGAGACAGAGAUCGUGACCGUCAUCACAGAAGUAGUCGUCACAGAGAUCAUAGCAGGGAAAGAAGUGAAAGAAGAGAGCGUGGUAGUAGAGAUGACGAUGACUACCGCCGAAGCCGCGAUCGUGAUUAUGAUAGGCGCAGAGAUGAUAGAGGAGAUAGACGCCGUCGUCGGUCUCGCUCUAGAUCAAAGGGUAGAUCUGAACGCAGAUCAAGAUCGCGUUCUCCAUCAAAAAGUAAGCGGGUCAGUGGAUUCGAUAUGGCACCUCCAGCCUCUGCAAUGUUAUCUGCUGGUGCUCCCGUUACAGGCCAAGUUCCUCCCGCACCACCAACUCUUCCUGGGGCUGGAAUGUUUCCCAACAUGUUUCCCUUACCUACUGGACAGCCAUUUGGGGGAAUUCCAAUGAUGCCGAUUCAGGCUAUGACACAGCAGGCGACUAGGCAUGCUCGCAGAGUCUAUGUCGGUGGGCUUUCUCCUACGGCAAAUGAACAGUCUGUGGCUACAUUUUUUAGUCAAGUUAUGGCUGCUGUUGGUGGAAACACUGCUGGUCCUGGGGAUGCUGUUGUUAAUGUUUACAUAAACCAUGAGAAGAAGUUUGCUUUUGUGGAGAUGCGAUCUGUUGAAGAGGCAAGCAACGCAAUGUCUUUGGAUGGGAUUAUAUUUGAGGGAGCUCCAGUGAAGGUGAGAAGACCUAGUGACUAUAACCCAUCUCUAGCUGCAACUCUCGGUCCAAGCCAGCCCAGUCCCAAUCUAAACUUAGCUGCUGUUGGUCUGACUCCAGGUGCUUCUGGUGGGCUUGAAGGUCCAGAUCGUAUAUUUGUUGGUGGACUUCCAUAUUACUUCACCGAGGCACAAGUCAGGGAGUUGUUGGAGUCCUUUGGUGCCCUGAAGGGAUUUGAUCUUGUAAAAGAUCGAGAAACUGGGAACUCUAAAGGAUACGCCUUUUGUGUGUACCAAGAUCUCUCCGUUACGGAUAUUGCGUGCGCUGCCCUAAAUGGUAUCAAAAUGGGUGAUAAGACUCUUACUGUGAGACGUGCAAACCAGGGAACAAUGCAACCGAAACCUGAACAAGAGAGUGUAUUGUUGCAUGCGCAACAGCAGAUUGCUUUACAGAGGAUUAUGCUUCAGCCGGGCGCAGCGGCCACAACAGUCGUAUGUCUGACUCAAGUUGUUGCCGAGGAUGAGCUAAGAGACGACGUGGAGUAUGAAGAAAUAAUGGACGACAUGAAACAAGAAGGCGAAAAGUUUGCCUUUUGCUAUAAAGAAUCAGCCCUAACAUACACAGAAUGGAGACUCCAUAAACCCUUAUUUAUUUUUCAUCAAAGGCCACAUUUCUUAGAAGAAAAAUAACUAACGCUUUUUGACUCUGUUUUGAUUCUCUUGUAUUCGAAAUGUUUGUUCUUUAACUGUUGAAAUGCAGGUGCAUUGACCAAUGUUGUGAUUCCGCGUCCCAGCCCCAACGGUGAGCCAGUGCCAGGCCUUGGCAAGGUGUUCUUGAAGUAUGCCGAUACUGAGAGUGCAUCGAGGGCAAGAAACGGGAUGAAUGGUAGGAAAUUUGGAGGAAACGAAGUGGUUGCUGUGUUUUACCCAGAAGACAAGUUUGAACAGGGAGAUUAUGGAGCCUGAACAUUGGCCGACCGUGUUUGUGUCUGAUUUGGUCAAAUGGAUUACUUUUUAGUAGAGAUUUUGUUUUCUCUUAUUUUGUUUUUGUGUCAGUUUCCAGAAGUCCCUAUGUCAAUGAAUUAAAACAUUCGAGAUUGUUGCCUCUAUAUUUUACUUUUAAUAUUAGAGUUUUUUAUAAA